rnacentral:lncRNA from 1 species
GUCGCUUGGGCCCUGGGUGGCAGGUUUGCGCAGCCCUGCGGCGAUUUCAAGGCAAGUGACCGGAAUGGGUCGGAAGCGCGUCCCGGUGAGUUUCAGGGAGCGUCCCUUAGGUUUCCGGGGGCGGCGUUGAACCUCCCUAGCCCCAGUCUUCCCAUCCCAGGAGACCCGCCCCUAGUGGCUCGAACGCCCCUAGCCAGGAGAGCCCCGAGUAGUGCCACUUGUGGAAGACUACGUGCCUGUCGGAAUUAGGAACCGCACCUCCCCUUCCGCUAAGCGGUGGGAGGCCAGGCGGGUGACGCGGAGCAGUGGAGCCAUGCAGCCUGUUUUACCAAAAGAAAAAAGAAACAUCUUAAGACUUGUACCCUAUCUAUUGAACAUCCUUCCAUCAUAAUGCAACUCAAUCAACUCUUCUGAGGCUGAUAGAAACAUUCGAAUGGACAACUCAGGAUAUUACCAGCUCCUAUCAUGGAUCCUAAGUGUAGGUAUUUUGAUUAAGUGUCAAAUGGCAAAGUAGCAUGAGAAUUUGACUGCUUCAGGUAUAGGUAAAGUUAGAGGGGAACAGUGAGGGACAGAGAAGUUAGCUUCCCUCCUUCCUUGAAUGACCUAGAGCUAGCUAGCUCCUGAGAUCAUAGAGAAAAUAAACCCCCCGCUGUGUUUAGAAUGAAAUAGAAAAGUUCAGAAUUCACAAUAAAAACCAGCGAGUCAUAUCAUAAUAUAGGUAUGUACAUAUAUCAAUGGUUUUGUUCAAAGAAUAUUAAGUGAACAGUCACAAUGAUGUCAAUGGUUUUGUUCAAAGAAUAUUAAGUGAACAGUCACAAUGAUGUCAAUGGUUUUGUUCAAAGAAUAUUAAGUGAACAGUCACAAUGAUGUCAAUGGUUUUGUUCAAAGAAUAUUAAGUGAACAGUCACAAUGAUGUAUAGAACAAAUUUCAAUUGCUAUAUUUACAAAUCCACAGACCUACUAUAUUAAUACAUUUUUUAAAUUUACUCACUUCUUUCACUUAAAUCCACUUAGUAAGGAAACCGAAAGUGCAAAGAUGUGUUAUUUCCUCCCUCUACCUCGUCCACUUUCAAUCUCGACCUCCGACUCAGCCCCAGGCACUCAGCACCUAGCUCCUUCACGCAUCCCCCUGCUGUUGGCCAUCAGAUAAAUCCUCCUCACUCAGCUUGGGCUAGAGCUUUCUCUAGUGCUCCCAGGUGUAACUCCCAGCAUGCUGUGGGAGUGGAAUGUUGUGAUGGACAGGAGCUCUGCCAAGUGGUCUGUCCAGAGCAGCAGCUAUCCAAUAUAAAUAUAAGAUGAGCCACACAUGCAGGCCACAUGUGUAAUCGAAAGUGUUCUAAUAACUACAUUGAAAGAGGUAAAAAGAAAUAGGCAAAAUUAAUGUUAAUAAGGUAUCUUAUUUAAACCAAUUUAUCCAAAAUAUUAUCACUUCAACAUGUGAUUGGUACAAAAAAAUUAUUAAGAUGUUUUGCCUUCUUUGUACUAAGCUUUCACAUUUUUGUGUAUAUUUUAUACCUACAGCACACCUCACUUUGGAUUCAUCACUGUCAAGUGAUUAAUAGCCAUGUGUGACUAGUGGCCCCAGAUCUAGAGCAUACCAUGGUAGUACAUUCACAGAAGGGUGAGCAGGGAAAACAACAUUGUGUUAAAUACUCCCAGGCAUCACACUUUGGAAAACACUGCCGUUGGCGUUUCCAUAGCCUGAGUUCAUGAUAUAAAGGGAUCCCUAGUCAUUUUAUAUUAAAUGAGAUUCCUUAAUUGACCCUAAAAUUGCCCACAACCUCUUCAGAGAGAUUGAUUACCCUGUCCUAGGAAAGAUCUUUCAUACUGCAACAGAUGCAUCUAGAUUCAUCGUGGUCUGAAUUGCCGUUCCUUUGGGCCAUUGCUGAAACUAAGAAAAACUCUGAACUGGCAGCAUUUGGUUAGAUAAUGGUUUCUGUUUUCCCUUCUAUCUCCUGGCAAGUUUUGCAAUUUUACAAUCCAAAGCUUUCAAAGCUGUUGGUUGUCAAUUAGCUGCUCCUAUGGUAUUUAUACUGUACUCUAAUUCUCAUUUCAGGCCAUGUGCAUAGUCAACAUGGAGUGUGAAAAAGACUAUUUAAAGCAUAUAUCCAUUUUUUAAAGUUAUCCUCACUACAUGUAAAAAUAGCAUACACCCUGUCAUCUUGAGUGAGAAUUGUUUAGACUAGUCACACAGCUCUGCUAUCUGAAUCCACUAGGCCACAGAAUUGCUCAACUCUGUUUGCCAUUGACAAUAUAGGUCUGCUUAAUUAUGCAUGUUCUGUUUUGUGUUUCAGUUUUUCUGAAAAUAAAGGAUAUGAAAAAUAACUGGUUAUUUUUUUGCCAUCUGUAGGCCAAUGAGUUAUGAAAUCAUAAAAUAGAAUUUCAUAAAAUAGAAUUAUAGAUGAUGAAAGGAUUAGUGGCUCUUCAGGCAAAAUCUGUCAUAUUUUAGAUGAGGAUAGUUCUUUUAAAAAUAUCUACAAGUCUUGAUCUGGAUUUUAAUCCAGAGAUUUUUGAAAAAUAAAGAUAUUUUGAAUUAUUUAUAUUCUUAAGAAAUAAGUAAAAUAAUUUUAACAUCUCCCUAACUUAAUAUAUUUGCUUAACAAUCUUUUUUUUUUUUUUUUUUUUGAGAUGGGGUCUCACUCUGUCGCCCAGGCAGGAGUGUAGUGGUGCAAUCUCAGCUCACUGCAGCCUUGACCUCCCAGGUCCAAGCAAUCCUCCCACUUUAGCCUCCUAAGUAGCUAGGACUACAGAUGCCUACCAUCAUGACUGGCUAAUUUGUAUUUUUUAUAGCGGCAGGGUUUCGCCAUGUUGCCCAGACUGGUCUCGAACUACUGAGCUCAAGUGAUCCACCUGCCUCGGCCUCCCAAAGUGCUGGGAUAACAGGCGUAAUCCACCACACCUGGCCCUUAACAAUCAUUUAUUGAAUCUCCCAGGUGCAAAGAAGACUGAUAGAUACAGAGACCAUAAAAACAAACAAUUCGAUCCCUGUUUAUAUUUAUUCUAAUACAUUAUGAUGGCAGAUUACAUGAUUUGUAAUGCUUUCAAUAAACAUCUAAUAAUAUAGCUAACAUGUUAUUUAUAAUACAUAAAGAUACUUUUGUGGUUAACCACAGUGAUGACAUUAGUUAAAUAACAAAUUUAAAUUUCAGCCAGAAAUAAAGGCAUUAUAAUAACAUAGCAGAAGAGAUUUAAUGACAAAUAGAAGGAAGACUUCCUUAUGAAAACACUAGAAGGGCUUACCACAGGAGAAUGGGAUCUUUAUCUAUAAAUUUAGGUUAUUUCUUCAUUAUUCAAGGUCUGUUCAAGGAAAUGUACCUGCAAGCAAUAAAAGACCUUUCUCUAUUUGUUUUAGUAGAUUAAUUUUUCGUCUACUUAUGAAAGUAACCACAAGCAUUUUGGAAAACACAGAGAUAAAAUCUCACUCCAACCCCACCAUCUAAACAUAGCCAAGAUUAGCAAUUUAGUAUUCUUCAUCCCUGUCUUAUUUUGUUUAUAGACAGUUUUAUUUUAUAUUUUAUAUAGCUUUAAUCAUGGUAUAAAUACAUUUUUCCUAUUCUUCACUUCCUGUGACAUAAUUGUUGUUUCACAUAAAACGUAAUAUUUGGAAGAUAUGAGAUGCAAUGAUUUUGUGAGGUGUUAGUCCAAUUAUUUUAUUCCCCACCCCACCAUUAUUCAUGGCAAUCUCUCCCAUUUGGGCUGCAGGACAAGAGGCCACCAUCUAGGUGGGGUCAGGCAGUGGUCAGUUCUGGGGGUGAGAAUAAAGAUGCUGAAGUCUAGCUUUUUAAGUUUAUAAGGAAUAUCCAGAUGUAAGGCUAUAAACAAAAAUGUGAAAGCAAGUGCAUCCACAUCCCCAUCACCAAAAACCAAAUGAAGGAACAAACCUGUAGAGGAUAGGGAAGAAAAACUGAAGGGGAAUCCAUGGGGUUUAAGAACUGGUCACCUCCUUCAACUCUCACAUUUCAGUUCAUGUUUGUGUGGGGCUAGGAAACAAGUAUUGGCAAUGGAGCUCCUCCAGGGAGAUUUAGGGGCCUCUGGUAGAGUAUAAUGUGCCUUCAUGAUCCUGACUGAAAUUCUGGCAGUUCCAGCAAGUCAUGGAGAAGUUGAGGAGAAGACUAGAAGGGGAUAGUAGAACUCUGCCAGAUCCAAGAUUCCCACAGACCUCAAGAACAAUGUUUACUUGAAUAUUGCCAGGCAAUGAACUCCAGCGAACAAGUGUGGGAUGGCUUGGAGCAAGCUGGGAUUCUAGGCAAACAGGUCAGCAGCGGAUGGUUCCUCCUUCGCUGAACAUUCUAAAAAGACAUGCGUGAACCAGGAAACAGCUAGGGACACUGUGCUAGCCAUCCUCUAGGAGAGGGACCCCAUUCCCUCUAUUGCACUCUCUCUUUAAGCAAAGUGAUUAUGAAAGUGGCAAAUGGACUGCUUGGACAGUCUGAACUUAAUUGCCAGCUAUUUUGGGGAGUGCUGAGAAAGCUGGCUGCCCAAAAUCUGGAGACUUUGUGGGAAGAUGAGUUUAGAUGCAGGGCCUCCUGCUGCAGAGAGAGGGGAUCCCUAGUUCUAGCCAUUCUCAUUUCUGGGUCUCCAAAGUCAUUUAUCAAGCAUAUUUGUCUGCACAAAUAUCCGAGGUUUAAUACUCUGUAUAUUUGUUUGUAAUUCAGGCAUCACAAAAUUCUGAACUUGCUAUGUAGCAUAUGAAAUUGCUAAUGGAAGAUUGUUUAUUUUUUAAAAAAGACUAGAAGUCUUUAAAUUUCUGGCACAGACAGGCACUCAAAUAUUUGUUGAAUGAGUGAAUGUAAGGAUAAUAGAAUAUAAUAAAUUCCAUUUGGGAUCAGAUUACUAGGCUAUCUAACAUUUAUGAUGAAUCCAGUUCAUGAAAAAGUGUUACUUAGUGAAAUAAUUAUAUAUACUUAACCUCAAUUUUAUUUUUGAUU